UACGAAGGGGGCUAGCGUUGCUCGGAAUUACUGGGCGUAAAGGGCUCGUAGGCGGCCAACUAAGUCGGACGUGAAAUCCCCAGGCUCAACCUGGGAACUGCGUCCGAUACUGGAUGGCUUGAAUUCGGGAGAGGGAUGCAGAAUUCCAGGUGUAGCGGUGAAAUGCGUAGAUAUCUGGAGGAAUACCGGUGGCGAAGGCGGCAUCCUGGACCGACAUUGACGCUGAUGAGCGAAAGCUAGGGGAGCAAACGGG
rnacentral:rRNA from 1 species